GCUCCGGUAGCUCAGUUGGUAGAGCGUAGCUCUCGUAAAGCUAAGGUCGAGGGUUCAAUCCCCUCCCGGAGCU
rnacentral:tRNA from 1 species